rnacentral:siRNA from 1 species
UAGUGUCUACAUCAUCGGU